GCACAGAACAUAAUAUCAAACGUAAACAGAACACACGAUUGGAGAUACAAACACCAUAACGUCACCCUAGGACACCAGAGCUGGCCCCGGUAGGACACAAAGUGUGAGCUCUUGGUGUUUCCCCAGGUCCCAGUCUGGAGCAGGUUCGAACAGAACCAAGAAAAGGGAAAGAAAACCAGUCCAGGGAAAACUUGGACUGCCUCAGCUAGCUAUACUAACUAAAAAGCAAAGGAGCCCCGUGUUCUGCCCCGUCCAUGCCCAGACAACACAGUGGAGUUCUGUGUUCCAGCAGACUGUGCAGGAGUGAAUGCAGGCUGAUAACAAAACUCCGUGCUUCUUCUUCUCCCCGCUUUCAGUCUCUGAGCCAAUCUUGAAGGCACAGAAUAUAAUAUCCAGCAUAAACAGAGCACCCGAUGAGGAUACAAGCAUCAUAACAUCACCCUAGGACAGGAGGUAAUAUAAGAACAUAUCUUUAUUUGAAGGCCUUCAGGGGCACUUAUGGAAAGAUGUCCACAAAAGCCCACCUGCUCAGGGGUGAGUACAUUUUUAUAGGUUUUAGGAAAUUAGCAUAAUUGAUAAAAAGCAACAAUUAGGAGGACAAGUGGUGAUGCAAUUCCCCCCCAGGUCAAGCCCCUUCUCUGGAUUCCCCCCUUGGCACUAGCUGUACUUUGUCCAUGAAAAUGUAUCUUGAAGACUUGUUCUCAACCUUGGUUCCCAGGAAGAACCAAGAAAGCAUUGGGGCCUUGUACCCCCCGGGGCUUGGAGCUCUGGAAUUUGUUUUGUCUUCCUGCCUAGGGAAAGCCAUAGAAAAGUACUGGGAAAACUAGCCACUAAUAUAAUCGACUACAAAGUUACAAAUAUAUGUGCAAAGAAUACAGAAAACAUAUAAAAGAAGAAACAGCAAUCCCCAAAACACCAUCAACACCUUGCUUUUUUUGGUUAAACCACUCCCUCUUUUGUACAAUGUUCUUUUUUAUUGUUGUGUUUAUUGAUAUUUUAUUUAGUAAAAUUGUGGAUCUAACCUUUUUUAACCUCUUGUAGUUCCAUUUUUUGGGUUUUUUUUCCUUCCCUCCAUUGUCAUGAGGGAGGGAAGGGGGAAGGGGCUCAUUCAGUCUUAAACUUUUCAUCACUGUAAAACCAUUACAUCCUCUCAUCUUUGAAGAGAUGCCUACUCAAGCUAGAUAUACAUAAUAUAUUCACCUUCUCUCAAAUUUCCUGCUUGACUACUGAUUCUUCCCUUGUGUAAUACAGAUGAGUGAGUGGUUCCCAAGGAGUAGUUAGUGUCAUCUGCUUCAAGGCUGCCCAGCAUCCCCCAGGUUACUGCUAAAGAGACAGAAGUAAUUGUCUUUUUUUGUUCCCUAAAACAGCAUUUUUAAAAAUAGAAGUUAUCUUUUUCUAUUUAAAUCUUAUUUUUAAUUGAUUUUUUAAAUAAUGUAUUUAUUGUAAAAUAAAUAUUUUUGUCUAGUUUGUGUUUUCUAUGCAAAUAUUAUUUACUAUGUCCCAACAUAGCUUCAUUAAUUGGGGUUAAGAACCUUCUUAGUAUUUAGAGAGGACAGACUGAGGAACUGGAUAUCAUUGAGGAACUAGCUGUAAUUAAAAAAAAACACUGCUGUAUAUGGGACUUGAGAAAAACAGAGGGGUUUUUUUAGUCUUUGCAAUAAUUUUAGAGAAGAUGUGUGAAGCAGCAUGGCCAGAAACUGAUGGGUUUAUUGUUUUUUAUUUCAUUGACUAGCUUCCCCUAAAAAAAAAAAAAAAGAAAAUUUUCCUCAAUGUGUGAUAUUUAUGCCCAGACUAUAGGCUUUAUUUGUCACAGCAUCAUUGAGUUUGAUUUAUUUGCAUUAGAUGGUCUUGUUCCUUUAUUUCAAAGGGAUUUAGGCACAGUCUAACUCAGCAUUGUUGUAAAAUAACAGCUGGAAAUCCUAAUUACAUUGAAUGUUCUUGAUGCAACAAUCGGACUUGGUUCACAUUUUUGUGAUAACACCAUCACUGGAGCUAUUGAGACUGGAUAAAUCCAGUGGUCAUCCUGUAUUGGGUGAUGAACAGAAAGUUGGAAAACUUAAUCUAAAAAGAUUUUCCAUUUGCAGUGUUUCAGUGGUUUUAUUUGUUCACUUUGGAAAUUCCUUUUUCAGCUGAUUUCUGAGUUAUGUAAGUUGUUAAACAUUUGCUGUAUUUGCAUUUUCCCCAUCUAUAGGUCAUUUGGAUCCAGGCUUCCGUGCAGGUGACAAAAUAUCUUUAAGUAAUGCCCAGAUCAAUGAAGAAAUUAAUAUUGCCUCUUCUGAUAGUGAAGUAGAGAUUGUUGGAGUUCAGGAACAUGCCAGGUAUGUGCAUCCCAGGGGAGGUGUGAUUCAGAGUGUGUCUUCUUGGAAGCAUGACUCAAGCUCACAAUAUAUUAACAGUCACCAAACACAAUUAUGGACAGCAGUGACUCCCCAACAGAACUGGUCUUCACCCCCAGAAGUAGUAGACCUCACUUUGGAUGAGGAUACAAGACGCAAAUAUCUACUGUAAUGCAGCAUACCUUUGUUUCUGUCCCCACCUCUUCUCCCCUUUGUGGCACAGAUGUUCAUUGUUAAAGUUUCAACUUCAGAAGUUCCCUUCUUGGCUUUACGAAAUUCAAACUCAUUAUCUUUUUCAUUUCCAUAAGAAUGUAGUAUGAUUUCAAUAUAAUUUAAAAUAGUUUUACCUUCUCAAAGAAGGAUUCCUCCCAGAAUUAAAGCCUAACAGUACCAAAUUUAAAACACAUCUACAGUUUCUAACAUGUGCAUGUUAAUCUGAAGAAAUAACUGUGUGCAGACUUAUGCCCAUCCACCCUUUCUCACCUCCAAUUUCAGAACAUUUUUAAUUUAUCAGUAUAUUGAGUUUCUUAGUAGAAGUUAGUGUUUUGCUGUGUGUGAGCAUCAGUGGUUUUGAAAAAUGCUGUGUCCUCACUGAUUUCAGUGGAACUGGGUGUAUUCAGUACUUCUGAAAAUUGGGCCAAGAGUAUUUUUUACCCAAACUGAUUUGGAUAUUUUACCAGCAGGAGGGACUGUCUUUAAUGCAAAUGGCCCAUAACUUAUGCACUGAACAGCUUUUAUUUUAAGCAUUUUUAUUUUCAAUAUAAUUUCUAGUUUGCACUCUUCAGUUCUGAGUAUUUUAUCUGACUACUGUGUUUCACUGAUCAUUUACCAUGCCUUGUUAUCGUUUAAAAUAGUAAUAGUAGUGACUUAGUAGCAGAUGAUUAUGGCAAAAGCACAGGAAAAUGAAAAGUAAUAAAAAGGCCCAGCAUCCCUCUCUUUUUUAAAUAGAGCUGAAUUUUUUUGCCUAAAUCAGAGUCUUGCCUGGAGUAGGAGAGAAAUGAAACAUUUUGCUCACAGUCCUCAUUUCUACUGUUGCUUAUUUGCUUCAUUCACCAUCUCAAAAACAACCCAACCCCAAACAAAUUCCAAAAUCCCAGUCUGGCAAAGCACUUUAGCAGCUGUGUAACAUUCAGCAGGGACAGUUUGGUGAACCUAGAUGGACCAUUCAAGUGCUUAAAACUCUGUCCUAAAAGGUGUUGUUGGAUUAGAACUUAAGGUUGCGAUUUUUUUAAUUAUUAUAAUUAUUUUUUUAAAUAGAUCUGUACUAUUUUCCUGGCUUUAGGUCAUGUCUCUUAUGCUAGUUUUGGAAUUGCUUUUUCAGAUAUGAUUCAGGAAACACUUUCUACCAGAAUAUUUACUGAAAUCAGCGAAACUACUUACUUUAGCAGUCUGUAGUUUCUGUAGUGUAUAUGGAAAUUCUUGCCAUUCACCUGUCAUUUUGAGCCUUUCUCAAAGCAAAAGCCAAAGAUUAGACUUUACAAGAUUAUAUUCACUUUAAAUGUCUAUUGUGCAAUUAAAACAUUUAUUUGUAUUCCUGUUGUUUCUAGUGGGAAUUUUGUGCAGCUCUAUCAUCAAAUUUUCUGCCAUUUGAGGCUGAACAGGUGGUAAUAAGGACAUGGGAAGUUCUAUUUUCUUUUUGUGUUGGCUGGUUUAAAAAUGUUGUUUGGCUUCCAAUAAUUUUAUCUGCAGGCAAAAAAAAAAAAAAAAAAAAAAAGCAGAACAGCUCAGACUGCACUUUAAAGAACAAUUAGGUAAGGGAUUGAUAUUCCAAUUUCAAGCUUUCUAAAACAUUGAAUAUAAGUAUAUUGCAUGGCCAGAAAAAUGUAUGUGGUGCUUCUAGUGACCGAUUUCUUUCUCUGGGGGAAGGAAAGAGGAUGGGAGAGGAGUGUGGAUGGAGCCCAUUCACACUGCAGUAGGGAAAAGCCCCGUGCUAUUUGGGCACUAUAUUCAGUAGUGUUCUUUUCUCUUUGCAUUUUAAUCACACAACUCAGCCAAUAUUUUAGCGGGCUAGCGCACAUUUUUUCAGCAGUAACUUAAACAGUGGCAUACUGUGGCUACUUUUUCCUGUUUCACAAAGUCUUUUGAACAUCAGUUGUGAAGAAAGUUGCAGAAAUCCAUUUAUAGUCAUUCUAUGAAAAAUGCAAGCUAACACUUGUUUUUGAGUUUGAUGUGACUUCCAUGUAUAUAUAAAAACAACUGUGUCCUAGCCAAGCUUACUCCAAUUGUGCACUGUGUUUCUUUAAACAGUUCAUGCAUUGUAGUCUGAUGCAAGUUUUCUUUUAUUUAAAAUGCUACAUAUUUUUUCUUAUUCUUAACAAAUUUGAAAGGUUGAUGAGUAAUCUGAAAACUGCAAUCACUGGAUAGCUCGGAAGUUGUUUGGUUUUAAUUUUUUUUUUUUUCUUUAAUAAGAGCAAUAGGUGCCUGUAUGAUUUUGCUCUUCUCAGCAGGAAAGAGAAAUGAUAGCCAUUGUAUGGCUAAGAACCAAUGCACUUGGGCCUGAACCAGAACCCAUUGGAGUUGAUGCGGGACUUUCCAUGAAAUUUAGUAUGCAUUGGCUCAAGCCCUUCAGGCUUUAAGCAGUUCCUGAAUUGCUGGAGUGGGAAUUUGGAAUCUUCUAUAGUGAAAACAAAUCAUUUCUUAGAAUGUAAAUGUUUAAAACAUGCAAGUCUAGUUAAAAAUUCUAGAUUGUUCUCAAUAGUCAUUAUUUAGUUGUCAUUUUCCAUCUAGUAUUUAAUGGUCUUUGAAGAAAAGAAAAUAAAACAGAGCGGUUCAUAUAUAUAUAUAUAUUUUUUUUUUCCUGUGUGUGCAAGAUAAGACCUGUUUUUUGAAACAAGUCUGUAGCAUAAAGGUUAAACUAUUUUAAAACAAAAUAAAAUGGUGUAUUAUUUAAAUAGUAAAAA